GGCUGCGUGGUGAAGCGGUCAGCACGCUCGACACGUAUUCGAAAGGUCCGUGGUUCAAGUCCCGGCGAGGGCA
rnacentral:tRNA from 1 species